rnacentral:rRNA from 1 species
AGAACGAACGCUGGCGGCAGGCUUAACACAUGCAAGUCGAGCGCCCCGCAAGGGGAGCGGCAGACGGGUGAGUAACGCGUGGGAAUCUACCCAACUCUACGGAAUAACUCAGGGAAACUUGUGCUAAUACCGUAUACGCCCUUCGGGGGAAAGAUUUAUCGGAGUUGGAUGAGCCCGCGUUGGAUUAGCUAGUUGGUGGGGUAAAGGCCUACCAAGGCGACGAUCCAUAGCUGGUCUGAGAGGAUGAUCAGCCACAUUGGGACUGAGACACGGCCCAAACUCCUACGGGAGGCAGCAGUGGGGAAUAUUGGACAAUGGGCGCAAGCCUGAUCCAGCCAUGCCGCGUGUGUGAUGAAGGCCUUAGGGUUGUAAAGCACUUUCACCGGAGAAGAUAAUGACGGUAUCCGGAGAAGAAGCCCGGCUAACUUCGUGCCAGCAGCCGC